UACGAAGGGUGCAAGCGUUACUCGGAAUUACUGGGCGUAAAGCGUGCGUAGGCGGUUUGUUAAGUCUGCUGUGAAAGCCCCGGGCUCAACCUGGGAAUGGCAGUGGAUACUGGCAAGCUAGAGUGCGGUGGAGGGGUGUGGAAUUCCCGGUGUAGCGGUGAAAUGCGUAGAUAUUGGGAGGAACACCAGUGGCGAAGGCGGCUCACUGGACCGGUACUGACGCUGAGGCGCGAAAGCGUGGGGAGCAAACGGG
rnacentral:rRNA from 1 species